UACGAAGGGGGCUAGCGUUGCUCGGAAUUACUGGGCGUAAAGGGAGCGUAGGCGGACAGCUAAGUCAGAGGUGAAAGCCCAGGGCUCAACCCUGGAAUUGCCUUUGAUACUGGCUAUCUUGAGUAUGGGAGAGGUGUGUGGAACUCCGAGUGUAGAGGUGAAAUUCGUAGAUAUUCGGAAGAACACCAGUGGCGAAGGCGACACACUGGCCCAUUACUGACGCUGAGGCUCGAAAGCGUGGGGAGCAAACAGG
rnacentral:rRNA from 1 species